GGGUGAGUAACACGUGAGUAAUCUGCCCCUGGCUUUGGGAUAGCCACCGGAAACGGUGAUUAAUACCGGAUACGACCACUUCUCGCAUGGGAUGGUGGUGGAAAGUUUUUCGGCCAGGGAUGUGCUCGCGGCCUAUCAGCUUGAUGGUGAGGUAAUGGCUCACCAUGGCUUCGACGGGUAGCCGGCCUGAGAGGGUGACCGGUCACACUGGGACUGAGACACGGCCCAGACUCCUACGGGAGGCAGCAGUGGGGAAUAUUGGACAAUGGGCGGAAGCCUGAUCCAGCAACGCCGCGUGAGGGAUGACGGCCUUCGGGUUGUAAACCUCUUUCAGCAGGGACGAAGCGCAAGUGACGGUACCUGCAGAAGAAGCACCGGCCAACUACGUGCCAGCAGCCGCGGUAAUACGUAGGGUGCGAGCGUUGUCCGGAAUUAUUGGGCGUAAAGGGCUCGUAGGCGGUUUGUCGCGUCGGGAGUGAAAACCAGGUGCUUAACACCUGGCUUGCUUUCGAUACGNGCAGACUAGAGGUAUUCAGGGGAGAACGGAAUUCCUGGUGUAGCGGUGAAAUGCGCAGAUAUCAGGAGGAACACCGGUGGCGAAGGCGGUUCUCUGGGAAUAUCCUGACGCUGANGA
rnacentral:rRNA from 1 species